rnacentral:rRNA from 1 species
CUACGUGCCAGCAGCCGCGGUAAUACGGAGGAUGCGAGCGUUAUCCGGAAUCAUUGGGUUUAAAGGGUCCGUAGGCGGGCUAAUAAGUCAGAGGUGAAAGCGCUCAGCUCAACUGAGCAACUGCCUUUGAAACUGUUAGUCUUGAAUGAUUGUGAAGUAGUUGGAAUGUGUAGUGUAGCGGUGAAAUGCUUAGAUAUUACACAGAACACCGAUAGCGAAGGCAUAUUACUAACAAUUAAUUGACGCUGAUGGACGAAAGCGUGGGGAGCGAACAGGAUUAGAUACCCUGGUAGUCCACGCUGUAAACGAUGGAUACUAGCUGUUUGGUUGCAAGACUGAGUGGCUAAGCGAAAGUGAUAAGUAUCCCACCUGGGGAGUACGCACGCAAGUGUGAAACUCAAAGGAAUUGACGGGGGCCCGCACAAGCGGUGGAGCAUGUGGUUUGAUUCGAUGAUACGCGAGGAACCUUACCAAGGUUUAA